rnacentral:rRNA from 1 species
CACCGGCGGCUCGAGUGGUGGCCACUUUUAUUGGGUCUAAAGCGUCCGUAGCCGGCUUGGCAAGUCCCCUGGGAAAUCUGGCGGCUUAACCGUCAGGCGUCCAGAGGAUACUGCCAGGCUUGGGACCGGGAGAGGUGAGAGGUACCUCAGGGGUAGGGGUGAAAUCUUGUGAUCCCUGAGGGACCACCAGUGGCGAAGGCGUCUCACUAGAACGGGUCCGACGGUGAGGGGCGAAAGCCGGGGGAGCGAACCGG